AUUGAACGCUGGCGGCAGGCCUAACACAUGCAAGUCGAACGAGUGGCGGACGGGUGAGUAAUAUCUGGGAAAAUGCCUGCUGGCGGGGGGUAAAUACUGGAAAAGGUAGCGAAUACCCCGUACCAUCGGAUGUGCCCAGAUGGGAUUAUCUAGUGGGUGGGGUAAAGGCUCACCUAGGCGACGAUCCCUAGCUGGUCUGAGAGGAUGAGCAGCCACACUGGAACUGAGACACGGUCCAGACUCCUACGGGAGGCAGCAGUGGGGAAUAUUGCACAAUGGGCGCAAGCCUGAUGCAGCCAUGCCGCGUGUAUGAAGAAGGCCUUCGGGUUGUAAAGUACUUUCAGCGGGGAAGCGUUACCCGAAGAAGAAGCACCGGCUAACUCCGUGCCAGCAGCCGCGGUAAUUC
rnacentral:rRNA from 1 species